rnacentral:rRNA from 1 species
CCUCCUCGCCGGAAGACCAAGGGUUCCUGUCCAACGUUAAUCGGGGCAGGGUGAGUCGACCCCUAAGGUGAGGCCGAAAGGCGUAAUCGAUGGGAAACGGGUUAAUAUUCCCGUACUUCUGACUAUUGCGAUGGGGGGACGGAGAAGGCUAGGUGGGCCAGGCGACGGUUGUCCUGGUUCAAGUGCGUAGGCUUGAGAGUUAGGUAAAUCCGGCUCUCUCUAAGGCUGAGACACGACGUCGAGCUACUACGGUAGUGAAGUCAUUGAUGCCAUGCUUCCAGGAAAAGCCUCUAAGCUUCAGAUAGUCAGGAAUCGUACCCCAAAC